UGGGGAAUUGUUCGCAAUGGGCGCAAGCCUGACGACGCAACGCCGCGUGGAGGAUGAAGACCUUCGGGUCGUAAACUCCUUUCGAUCGAGACGAAUUCCCCUGGGGUGAACAGUCCCGGGGGUCGACGGUACCGAGAGAAGAAGCCCCGGCUAACUCCGUGCCAGCAGCCGCGGUAAUACGGGGGGGGCAAGCGUUGUUCGGAAUUACUGGGCGUAAAGGGCUCGUAGGCGGCCAACUAAGUCAGACGUGAAAUCCCUCGGCUUAACCGGGGAACUGCGUCUGAUACUGGAUGGCUUGAGGGUAGGAGAGGGAUGCGGAAUUCCAGGUGUAGCGGUGAAAUGCGUAGAUAUCUGGAGGAACACCGGUGGCGAAGGCGGCAUCCUGGACUACUACUGACGCUGAGGAGCGAAAGCCAGGGGAGCAAACGGGAUUAGAUACCCCGGUAGUCCUGGCCCUAAACGAUGAAUGCUUGGUGUGACGGGCAUCGAUCCCUGUCGUGCCGAAGCUAACGCAUUAAGCAUUCCGCCUGGGGAGUACGGUCGCAAGGCUG
rnacentral:rRNA from 1 species